rnacentral:rRNA from 1 species
GACGAACGCUGGCGGCGUGCCUAAUACAUGCAAGUUGAGCGAUGAAGCUUGGUGCUUGCACCAAUUUGAAGAGCAGCGCACGGGUGAGUAACGCGUGGGGAAUCUGCCUUUGAGCGGGGGACAACAUUUGGAAACGAAUGCUAAUACCGCAUAACAACUUUAAACAUAAGUUUUAAGUUUGAAAGAUGCAAUUGCAUCACUCAAAGAUGAUCCCGCGUUGUAUUAGCUAGUUGGUGAGGUAAAGGCUCACCAAGGCGAUGAUACAUAGCCGACCUGAGAGGGUGAUCGGCCACAUUGGGACUGAGACACGGCCCAAACUCCUACGGGAGGCAGCAGUAGGGAAUCUUCGGCAAUGGACGAAAGUCUGACCGAGCAACGCCGCGUGAGUGAAGAAGGUUUUCGGAUCGUAAAACUCUGUUGGUAGAGAAGAACGUUGGUGAGAGUGGAAAGCUCAUCAAGUGACGGUAACUACCCAGAAAGGGACGGCUAACUACGUG